GACGAACGCUGGCGGCGUGCUUAACACAUGCAAGUCGAACGGAAAGGCCCUGCUUUUGUGGGGUGCUCGAGUGGCGAACGGGUGAGUAACACGUGAGUAACCUGCCCUUGACUUUGGGAUAACUUCAGGAAACUGGGGCUAAUACCGGAUAGGAGCUCCUGCUGCAUGGUGGGGGUUGGAAAGUUUCGGCGGUUGGGGAUGGACUCGCGGCUUAUCAGCUUGUUGGUGGGGUAGUGGCUUACCAAGGCUUUGAUGGGUAGCCGGCCUGAGAGGGUGACCGGCCACAUUUGGACUGAGAUACGGCCCAGACUCCUACGGGAGGCAGCAGUGGGGAAUAUUGCACAAUGGGCGGAAGCCUGAUGCAGCAACGCCGCGUGCGGGAUGACGGCCUUCGGGUUGUAAACCGCUUUCGCCUGUGACGAAGCGUGAGUGACGGUAAUGGGUAAAGAAGCACCGGCUAACUACGUG
rnacentral:rRNA from 1 species